rnacentral:rRNA from 1 species
UCCUACGGGAGGCAGCAGUGAGGAAUAUUGGUCAAUGGGAGCAAUCCUGAACCAGCAAUGCCGCGUGUGGGAUGAAGGCGCUUCGCGUCGUAAACCACUGUCGGACGGGACGAAAGGAGCUAUGAAGCUCUAGGACGGUACCGUCAAAGGAAGGAUCGGCUAACUACGUGCCAGCAGCCGCGGUAAU